GGAGCCGUAGUGUAGAGGCCUAACAUGCCUGCCUGUCACGCAGAGAAUGUGGGUUCGAAUCUGGCUGGCUGCG
rnacentral:tRNA from 1 species